GACGAACGCUGGCGGCGUGCCUAAUACAUGCAAGUAGAACGCUGAAGGAGGAGCUUGCUUCUCUGGAUGAGUUGCGAACGGGUGAGUAACGCGUAGGUAACCUGCCUGGUAGCGGGGGAUAACUAUUGGAAACGAUAGCUAAUACCGCAUAAGAGUAGAUGUUGCAUGACAUUUGCUUAAAAGGUGCAAUUGCAUCACUACCAGAUGGACCUGCGUUGUAUUAGCUAGUUGGUGGGGUAACGGCUCACCAAGGCGACGAUACAUAGCCGACCUGGGAGGGUGAUCGGCCACACUGGGACUGAGACACGGCCCAGACUCCUACGGGAGGCAGCAGUAGGGAAUCUUCGGCAAUGGACGGAAGUCUGACCGAGCAACGCCGCGUGAGUGAAGAAGGUUUUCGGAUCGUAAAGCUCUGUUGUAAGAGAAGAACGAGUGUGAGAGUGGAAAGUUCACACUGUGACGGUAUCUUACCAGAAAGGGACGGCUAACUACGUG
rnacentral:rRNA from 1 species